rnacentral:rRNA from 1 species
UGCUUGUCUCAAAGAUUAAGCCAUGCAUGCCUAAGCUGAACUAAAUUAAAGUGAAGCCACGAAUAGCUCAUUACAACAGCCGUUGUUUCUUGGAUCUCCGUAAUACUUGGAUAACUGUGGUAAUUCUAGAGCUAAUACACGCAAUCGAGCUCCGACCGUAAGGAACGAGCGCAUUUAUUAGAACAAAACCAAUCAGUGCUUGCACUGUGGUUUGGUGAAUCUGAAUAACUGAGCAGAUCGCUACGGUCUUGUACCGGCGACGUAUCUUUCAAGUGUCUGCCUUAUCAACUUUCGAUGGUAGUUUAUGUGCCUACCAUGGUUGUAACGGGUAACGGAGAAUUAGGGUUCGACUCCGGAGAGGGAGCCUGAGAAACGGCUACCACUUCCRAGGAAGGCAGCAGGCA